rnacentral:rRNA from 1 species
AUUGAACGCUGGCGGCAGGCCUAACACAUGCAAGUCGAGCGGAUGAAGGGAGCUUGCUCCUGGAUUCCGCGGCGGACGGGUGAGUAAUGCAUAGGAAUCUGCCUGGUAGUGGGGGAUAACGUCCGGAAACGGGCGCUAAUACCGCAUCCGACCUGAGGGUGAAAGUGGGGGAUCUUUGGACCUCACGCUAUCAGAUGAGCCUAGGUCGGAUUAGCUAGUUGGUGGGGUAAAGGCCUACCAAGGCGACGAUCCGUAACUGGUCUGAGAGGAUGAUCAGUCACACUGGAACUGAGACACGGUCCAGACUCCUACGGGAGGCAGCAGUGGGGAAUAUUGGACAAUGGGCGAAAGCCUGAUCCAGCCAUGCCGCGUGUGUGAAGAAGGUCUUCGGAUUGUAAAGCACUUUUAGUUGGGAGGAAGAGCAGUAAGUUAAUACCUUGCUGUUUUGACGUUACCAACAGAAUAAGCACCGGCUAACUACGUG